GGUCUAUGAUGUCAAGUAAAAGGUAUGAUUGCACAGGCUGCCAGUCCAGGAGUUUGCAACUCACAGAAACCUCCAUUUCUGCCAUCAUGCUCCAGCAGUGCUAUGAUUGGAUCUGGAGGUUUCUGACAGUAGUGAAUAUUCUCUGUGUUCCCUGAAGUGAUGGGCAUAUAGUGCAAACAAAUAUUCAACAUAAAGCAAGAAAUGAGUUGUUGAUCCAGGAAUUGGCUCCAAGAUGCAUGAUCACAAGUUCUUCUGAGACC